rnacentral:rRNA from 1 species
AACGAACGCUGGCGGCGUGGAUAAGACAUGCAAGUCGAACGGGAACUUCAGCUGUAGCAAUACAGUUGAAGUUUUAGUGGCGAACGGGUGCGUAACACGUGGGCAAUCUGCCGAGAAGUGGGUGAUAGCUCGCCGAAAGGCGAAUUAAUACCGCAUAUGAUCAGCUAAGACAUCUUAGCGACAUCAAAGCCGGGGCAACCUGGCGCUUUUUGAGGAGCCCGCGGCCUAUCAGCUAGUUGGUGAGGUAACGGCUCACCAAGGCUAUGACGGGUAGCUGGUCUGAGAGGACGACCAGUCACACUGGAACUGAGACACGGUCCAGACACCUACGGGUGGCAGCAGUCGAGAAUUUUUCUCAAUGGGGCAACCCUGAAGGAGCGACGCCGCGUGGAGGAUGAAGGCUUUCGGGUUGUAAACUCCUGUC